rnacentral:lncRNA from 1 species
AAGUGAGCUUUGUUCUCUGUAGAAUUCUAAAGACUCCAUGCUAAUUUUAAGCAAAGAGAAAUUGUCUUUUUGAUUACUUUUAUGACUUGCGACUAUCUAAGGCAAGUCCUUUAGAUAUUGAGUUUGGAAUGUGUCAAAUAGAUGGCGUGAAAGAAUGUUGUUUGUUGUGUCAGAUAUGGGCUUAUGACGUCAAAAGUUCAGCGACAUCUUCUUCGAAAAUUACCAAUGAAUUCGUUGGUAAAUUGACUAGAUUUCCUGUGUUAUUUGUUUGGCAUGUGUUCUUUCAUUAUUUCUCAUCCAUUUCCAGGAGAAAAUGUGAAAGGUUCAUGAAGUCUGUACUGUCAACUAUUGUGAAUCCUGGUAUCCUAACUGAAUAUGUCAUCCUAAUGACAGAGUGUGAAAGGUGAAAGGCGUGAGGAAUUCAAAUUUAGCUGCUGCGUGCUGUCUGCAAGGAAGCAAUCCAAUUGGCUGUCGCUAGGUGGCGCGAGCAUCUUCGGCCAUUUUGUUCCUUGACGAAUGAGAAGUGGGAUGCUGCAUGCUGGUCGUGACGUUUCCCAUGAUGAAAAUGUGAUUUCAAUUCCACUUGGUCAAGCAAUCUAACCAGAAUCUAACUCGGAAGCCUGUCCAUUUUGCUGAAAUGUCGUGCCUCGUGUGUCUUGCUGCCUGCACCCAGUCGUAUGUCUCGUGCCAUGCAAAAGCAAAAGUCCGCUGUUGGUUACCUUGUUGCAGCCAGGUGGUGAAAGAUGUGAUGGAGACUAAUUGAACUGUUGUAUGCAGCGUGUGGUUCCAGUGUUAUCCAGAAGUAGCUGUGCUGGCGGUAUCCUGAACUAGCCUGAAGUUGCCAGUGAUAUCCGGGUCGCUGACUUUAAAUAUUUUUUCUGUUUGCAUUUUGUGUAUUUUGCCCUGCCAAUGUUAUCCUGUGUUUGAAAUCUGUUCUCUUUCGUGUUUUUUUUUGCUCUACCAGUGAUUUCCUGUGUUGCAGUCUUGAAAUGGUUCCAUUGUCGUCUUUGGCGUUUUUAUUGUGCAGUAUACGAUUGAGGCAACCUGAUCUAUGUCAGGUUUGA